UGGCUCAGAGGUUAAGAACUCUGGACUGCUCUUCCAGAGGUCCUGGGUUCAAUUCCCAG
rfam:Cricetulus griseus cell line CHO-K1, whole genome shotgun sequence.